CCAUGACAGGACGGGAAUAACCUCCAGCACGAAGCUUUUUAUCCUGGAACCAGAACACCUGGAGGAAAACACGCACAAGCUAUCAGCUAUAGAGCCUCAGAUAAACAUGGCUGGGUCAAGCGCACCUCUGCCCGAGGAGAUCCAGCUGUGCUUCGUCCAGGGCAUCAGCGAGAACAAGCUGCCUGGAGCGAGGCCGGUCAUUUUGCUCAACGUUGUCCAUCUGAAAUAACUGUGGAAGAUUACUGAGAGCACAGUGAAGUUUCAUUCUGCCUGUGUUUGAACACUGUGUGUUUGUUUAAUGUGCCUCGCUGACCUGUUUUCAUGUGUGCCAAAUCUGUGAAUAAAGUCACAUGACAAAAGCGAAAA